rnacentral:rRNA from 1 species
GACGAACCGUGCGAACGUUAUUCGGAAUCACUGGGCUUAAAGCGCGUGUAGGCGGGACGGCACGUCUGUCGCUGAAAUCCCCCGGCUUAACCGGGGAACUGGCGUAGAUACGACCGCCCUGGAGGGGCGUAGGGGGACCUGGAACUUCCGGUGGAGCGGUGAAAUGCGUAGAUAUCGGGAGGAACACCAGUGGCGAAGGCGACUACCUGGCCUGUUCUUGACGCUGAGGCGCGAAAGCUAGGGGAGCAAACGGG